UAAAACUAGAUUUGAGGUGAUUAGGCGUUUUAGAAGUGAAGCCUCGGCCUAAACCCUACGCAUUCAUCCAUUCCAUUCUAGGGUUUUCACUUUUCAUCUACACCAGCAUGAAUGACAUGGAACACCGGAAGACCAACGAUGGAAAAGGAAGAAGAUUGGAUGGAGAAGAAGAGGAGGAGGAAGAAGAUGAAGACGAGGGAAAUGGAAGAGGCCUUGAUGCAUGGGAGAGAGCUUAUGCUGAUGAGAGAUCAUGGGAGUCUCUGCAAGAGGAUGAGUCUGGACUUCUUCGCCCCAUUGACAACAAAACCAUUUACCACGCUCAGUAUCGAAGGCGCAUUCGCUCCCUAUAUUCCUCCACAACCACUGCUCGAAUUCAAAAGGGUCUCAUUCGCUAUCUCUACAUUGUUGUUGAUCUCUCCAGGGCAGCUUCAGAGAUGGAUUUUAAACCUAGCCGAAUGGCUGUAGUUGCAAAACAUAUUGAGGCUUUCAUUAGGGAGUUCUUUGACCAGAAUCCACUUAGUCAAAUUGGCCUGGUGACCAUAAAGGAUGGGUUGGCUCAGUGCUUAACAGAUCUUGGUGGUAGUCCUGAUUCCCAUGUUAAAGCUUUGAUGGGUAAGUUGGAGUGCUCUGGUGAUUCCUCCCUACAGAAUGCCCUAGAUCUGGUUCAUGGGUAUCUAAAUCAAAUCCCAUCAUAUGGUCAUCGUGAAGUUCUGAUCUUAUAUUCAGCUCUCAGUACUUGCGACCCAGGAGAUAUAAUGGAGACCAUCCAGGAAUGCAAGAAAUCUAAAAUACGUUGUUCAGUUAUCGGCCUUUCUGCAGAAAUUUUUAUAUGUAGACAUCUCUGCCAAGAGACUGGUGGAUCAUACUCUGUUGCAUUGGAUGAGUCCCACUUUAAAGAGUUGCUACUAGAGCAUGCACCCCCGCCACCAGCAAUAGCAGAAUUUGCAAUUGCUAAUUUGAUCAAGAUGGGUUUCCCUCAAAGAGCAGCAGAGGGUGUUAUUUCAAUAUGUUCAUGCCAUAAAGAGGCUAAAGUUGGUGGGGGCUACACUUGUCCAAGAUGCAAAGCACGUGUGUGUGACCUGCCUACAGAAUGUCGUAUUUGUGGGCUGACACUAGUUUCUUCUCCUCAUUUGGCAAGGUCAUAUCACCAUCUCUUCCCAAUACCACCUUUUGAUGAGGUGUCUCUCUCACUUUUAAAUAAUCCGCAUCAAAGGUCUUCUAGAGCUUGUUUUGGUUGCCAAGAAAGUCUUCUGAUCCCUGGAAACAAACCUACUCUUUGUGUUGCUUGCCCAAAAUGCAAACAGCACUUCUGCCUUGAUUGUGACAUUUAUAUUCACGAGAGCCUACACAACUGUCCGGGUUGUGAGAGCUUCAGGCAUUCUAAGAUAGUAAGUGUUACUGAGGAAUGACAGAUUACUGCAGCAUAUUUUUUAUAAUUUGUUUCUCUGGGCCUAAGUCAAGCAUAAGCUCAUGAUAUGCAUACAAGCUACUGGCCUCAAUGUAACACAAUCCACAGCAUUCAGGGAAAAGCUGCUAUACCCACCGCAAUAUACCCGAAAAACCCUCAAUUUAGGGUGCAAAAAGAUAGAGCCAGCAGGGACCAGCUUGCCAACAUUGGCACAAGCAGCAGAGGUGCAAUUUUUAUGUGCAAGAGAAGCACCAAGUGGAAGCUACCAAUUUACAUUUUUAGUGGAUGACUCCCACUUACAUUUCCCUAGGGCAAAUAGAAAACAAUCUUGCAACAUAGGCAUAUGAUAUGCAGGUAAACCAAUUUCUUUUACAUGCCUAACUAGGAGGGAGGGAGGGGAAUUAAGCAAUAUUGCAUUUUACAUAUAACAUAAGGAACCUCAUUUUCAGUUGAUGUUGGUGGGUACUGGAAGGUUCUCCCUUUUAUGAAAUAACUUAGUUGUUUGA